UGUUGCCCAGAUAGACAACCCAAGAGGGGGGGUGAAUUGGGUUUUAAAAUAAUUUAGCUAUUUAAAACGUUGUGAAUGACUAAUUAAAACUAUUGCAAGUUGUUUAAUUAAUUGCUAUGUGCUGUGAGUGAUAUGAGAGGAAGAAGAAGAGAGACAAUCAAUCACAAACAUCAAGUUUUAUAAUAGUUCGGAGCUAACCCUUGCUCCUACGUCCACUCCCCAAGUCUCACUUGGGAAUUCACUAUAACCCCCUUGGAUUACAGCCGGUUGUUUUCCAAGCUCACAACCAAACUUGUUGUUUUACGAGCUCACAACGAACUCGGUCGGUUUUCCCAGGCUCACCGACUAGAACCACCCCGAUUGUUUUCCCGGGAUCAUAAUCGAACCCUUACACACGUUGGUUUUACACUCGGCUCACCAACCAACCUCAAUACCCUUGAUUCAAUCUCCCGAUUGAACCAAGCAGAUACAAGUUGUAAAUAAAAUAGACAAACAGAAAACUAAGCUUCUCAAAAGCAGAUGGAAAACAAUAUAAUCUGAAAAGAGUUUAGAAGCCCUCAAACGCUUUUAAGUUGGAGAAGAGGAAUGGCUUCUUAAACUUCGGGUCUCCUCUUGAAUGUGUAGUCGACUUGAAUGCAGGAGGAGGAUUCUUUAAUUGCUGGGAAGAUGUAGGUGGAUGCAGUUAAUGCAGCUCUUCC
rnacentral:lncRNA from 1 species